AGAGUUUGAUCCUGGCUCAGAUUGAACGCUGGCGGCAUGCCUUACACAUGCAAGUCGAACGGCAGCACGAGAGCUUGCUCUUGGUGGCGAGUGGCGAACGGGUGAGUAAUAUAUCGGAACGUACCCUAGAGUGGGGGAUAACGUAGCGAAAGUUACGCUAAUACCGCAUACGAUCUACGGAUGAAAGUGGGGGAUCGCAAGACCUCAUGCUCAUGGAGCGGCCGAUAUCUGAUUAGCUAGUUGGUGGGGUAAAAGCUCACCAAGGCGACGAUCAGUAGCUGGUCUGAGAGGACGACCAGCCACACUGGAACUGAGACACGGUCCAGACUCCUACGGGAGGCAGCAGUGGGGAAUUUUGGACAAUGGGCGCAAGCCUGAUCCAGCAAUGCCGCGUGAGUGAAGAAGGCCUUCGGGUUGUAAAGCUCUUUUGUCAGGGAAGAAACGGUGGACUCUAAUACAGAUCACUAAUGACGGUACCUGAAGAAUAAGCACCGGCUAACUACGUGCCAGCAGCCGCGGUAAUACGUAGGGUGCAAGCGUUAAUCGGAAUUACUGGGCGUAAAGCGUGCGCAGGCGGUUGUGCAAGACAGAUGUGAAAUCCCCGGGCUCAACCUGGGAAUUGCAUUUGUGACUGCACGGCUAGAGUGUGUCAGAGGGGGGUAGAAUUCCACGUGUAGCAGUGAAAUGCGUAGAGAUGUGGAGGAAUACCGAUGGCGAAGGCAGCCCCCUGGGAUAACACUGACGCUCAUGCACGAAAGCGUGGGGAGCAAACAGGAUUAGAUACCCUGGUAGUCCACGCCCUAAACGAUGUCUACUAGUUGUCGGGUCUUAAUUGACUUGGUAACGCAGCUAACGCGUGAAGUAGACCGCCUGGGGAGUACGGUCGCAAGAUUAAAACUCAAAGGAAUUGACGGGGACCCGCACAAGCGGUGGAUGAUGUGGAUUAAUUCGAUGCAACGCGAAAAACCUUACCUACCCUUGACAUGUCUGGAAUCCUUGAGAGAUCAGGGAGUGCUCGAAAGAGAAUCAGAACACAGGUGCUGCAUGGCUGUCGUCAGCUCGUGUCGUGAGAUGUUGGGUUAAGUCCCGCAACGAGCGCAACCCUUGUCAUUAGUUGCUACGAAAGGGCACUCUAAUGAGACUGCCGGUGACAAACCGGAGGAAGGUGGGGAUGACGUCAAGUCCUCAUGGCCCUUAUGGGUAGGGCUUCACACGUCAUACAAUGGUACAUACAGAGGGCCGCCAACCCGCGAGGGAGAGCUAAUCCCAGAAAGUGUAUCGUAGUCCGGAUUGUAGUCUGCAACUCGACUACAUGAAGUUGGAAUCGCUAGUAAUCGCGGAUCAGCAUGUCGCGGUGAAUACGUUCCCGGGUCUUGUACACACCGCCCGUCACACCAUGGGAGCGGGUUUCACCAGAAGUGGGUAGCCUAACCGCAAGGAGGGCGCUCACCACGGUGGGAUUCGUGACUGGGGUGAAGUCGUAACAAGGUA
rnacentral:rRNA from 1 species